UACGAAGGGGGCUAGCGUUGUUCGGAAUUACUGGGCGUAAAGCGCACGUAGGCGGAUAUUUAAGUCAGGGGUGAAAUCCUGGAGCUCAACUCCAGAACUGCCUUUGAUACUGAAGAUCUUGAGUCCGGGAGAGGUGAGUGGAACUGCGAGUGUAGAGGUGAAAUUCGUAGAUAUUCGCAAGAACACCAGUGGCGAAGGCGGCUCACUGGCCCGGUACUGACGCUGAGGCACGAAAGCGUGGGGAGCAAACAGG
rnacentral:rRNA from 1 species